rnacentral:rRNA from 1 species
CCUACGGGUGGCAGCAGUGAGGAAUAUUGGUCAAUGGGCGCUAGCCUGAACCAGCCAAGUAGCGUGAAGGAUGACUGCUCUAUGGGUUGUAAACUUCUUUUAUAUGGGAAUAAAGUGCGGUAUGUAUCCUGCUUUGCAUGUACCUUAUGAAUAAGGAUCGGCUAACUCCGUGCCAGCAGCCGCGGUAAUACGGAGGAUCCGAGCGUUAUCCGGAUUUAUUGGGUUUAAAGGGAGCGUAGGCGGGCUUUUAAGUCAGUUGUGAAAGUUUGUGGCUCAACCAUAAAAUUGCAGUUGAUACUGGGUGCCUUGAGUAUAGUAGAGGUAGGCGGAAUUCGUGGUGUAGCGGUGAAAUGCUUAGAUAUCACGAAGAACCCCGAUUGCGAAGGCAGCCUGC